rnacentral:rRNA from 1 species
UACGUAGGGUGCAAGCGUUAAUCGGAAUUACUGGGCGUAAAGCGUGCGCAGGCGGUUGUGCAAGACAGAUGUGAAAUCCCCGGGCUCAACCUGGGAAUUGCAUUUGUGACUGCACGGCUAGAGUGUGUCAGAGGGGGGGUAGAAUUCCACGUGUAGCAGUGAAAUGCGUAGAGAUGUGGAGGAAUACCGAUGGCGAAGGCAGCCCCCUGGGAUAACACUGACGCCUCAUGCACGAAAGCGUGGGGAGCAAACAGGGA